rnacentral:lncRNA from 1 species
GCCUUUAAAUAUUGAGGUACGUAACAACAUUUGAAAUUGUAUAUUUAUUUUGGACAAUAAUUAACUUGAGCUUGAAUUUCCCGGGUUCAAUUUCAAACUCAAGUUAAUUAGGUUAUGUUAGACAACGCCUUAUAUUGUAUUUUCUCUAUUUCAAGUUAUGCUGAAUUGAAUAUUUGUGUAAUAAGUAGUGACUGUUUCGCAUUUGUUUUGUUUUGCGAGGACUAAUGCCAUUGACUAUCGGGUUUAAGGUCAACCUCAAAUUAUUUAGGUAUUAUUUGACAAUGCUUUAUGUUGUACUUUGUUUGUUUCAAGUUAUGCUGAUUUUAAUUUUUGAGUAAUGAGUAGUGACUGUUUUGCAUUUAUUGUGUUGUGCGAGAACUGAUGCUGUUACCAAGUACUCUCAAAUACAUAUCUCCACGCCUUUAAAUAUUGAGGUACGUAACAAACAUUUGAAAUUGUAUAUUUAUUUUGGACAAAAUUAACUUGAGCUUGAAAUUUCCGCGGUUUCAAUUUCCAAACUCAGUUAAUUAGAUUAUGUUAGACAACGCCUUAUAUGUAUUUUCUCUAUUUCAAGUUAUGCUGAAUUGAAUAUUGUGUAAUAAGUAGGAACUGUUCGCUUUGUUUUUGUUUUGCGAGGACUAAUGCAUUGACUAUCGGUUUUAACGUCCAACCUCAAUUAUUUAGGUAUUGACAAUGCCUUAUGUUGGUACUUUUUUAUUUCAAGUUAUUCUGAUUUGAUUUUUGAGUAAUGAGAGUACUGUUUUGCAAUUUAUUGUGUUGUGCGAGAACUGAUGCUAUUACCAAGUACUCUCAAAUACAUAUUCACGCCUUAACAUGUUGGGUACGUAAAAACAUUUGGAAAUUGUAUAUUUUAUUUGACAAUACUUAUUGAACUUGAAAUUUUCCGGGUUCAAUUUAAAACUCAGUUAAUUAGGUUAUGUUAGACCACCCUUAUAUUGUAUUUUCCUCUAUUUCAAGUUAUACUAAUUUUGAAAUAUUUGUGUAUAAUUAGUUACUGUUUUGCAUUUAUUUUGUUUUGCGAGGACUAAUGACAUUGACUAUCGGGCUAAACUUCAACCACAAAUUUUUAGGUAUUAUUUGACAAUGCUUUAAUUGUAACUUUGUUUAUUUCAAGUUAUGCUGAUUUUGACUUUUUGAGUACUGAUAGUGCUGACUGUUUUGGCAGAAAUGAUGCUCUACCAUACUCUCAAAUACCUAUCUCCAGCCUUAAAUAUUUAGGUACGUAACAAACAUUUGAAAUUGUAUAUUUAUUUUGGACAUAAGUAACUUGAGCUUGAAAUUCUCGGGUUUACUUUCAAAUCAGUGAAUUAGGUAUUGUUAGCCAACGCCUAUAUUUUAAUUUUCUCUAUUUCAAGUUAAGGCUGAUUUGAAUAUUGGUGUAAUAAGUAGUGACUGUUUUGCAUUGAAUUUGUUUUUGUCAAGAACUAAUGACCUGCUAUCGGGCUAACUUCAACCACAAAUGAUUUAGGAUAUAUUUGACAAUGCUUUAUGUUGAACUUUGUUUAUUUCAUGUAGCGGAAUUUGAAUUUUUGAGUAUGAGUAGUGACUGUUUUUGGCAUUUAGUGUGUUGUUCGCGAACUGUCUAUUAACAAGUACUCUUCAAAUACUUAUCUCCAUGCCUUUAAAUAUUGAUGUACUAACACACAUUUGAAAUUGUAUAUUUUAUUUGAACAAUAAUUACUUUAGCUUGAAAUUUUUCGGUUUAUUUAAACUUCAAGUUAAUUAGGUUAAUGUUAGACAACGCCUUAUAUUGUAUUUUCUCUAUUUCAAGUUAGCUGCUGAUUUAAAUAUUUGUGUAAUCAAGUAGUGACUGUUUACAAUUGUUUUUGUUUUGCGAGGACUAAUGCCAUUGACUAUUGGGUUUAACUUCACCUCAGAUUAUUUAGGUAUUAUUGACAUUCUUAUGUUGUACUUUGUUUAUUUCAAGUUAUGCUGAUUUGACUUUUGAGUAAUGACUAGUUACUGUUUUGCAUUUUAUUGUGUUGUGCGAGAACUGAUGCUACUUCCAAGUACUCUCAAAUACUAUCAUCCAUGCUUUAAAUAUUGAGGUACUACAACAUUUGAAUGUAAUUUUAUUUUGGACAAUAAUUACUGAGCUUGAAAUUUUCCUGGGUUCAAUUUAAAACUCAAGUUAAUUAGGUUAUGUUAGACAACGCCUUAGUUGUAUUUUCCUCUAUUUCAAGUUAUGCUAAUUUGAAUAUUUGUGUAAAAUAGUCGGUUUUGCAUUUGUUUUGUUUUGCGAGGACAAUGACAUUGACCUAAUCGGGCUAACUUCAACCACAAAUAUUGAUAUUGAUUUGACAAUGCUUUAUGUUGAACUUUGUGUAGUCAAGUUUGCUGAUUUGAUGUUUGAGUAAUGAUAGUGACUGUUUUGCUUUAUGGUGUGUGCGGACUUAUGCUGUUAGCAAGGACUUCUCAAUACAUAUACCUCCACGCCUUUAAAUAUUGAGGUACGUAACCAACAUUUAAACUGUAUAUUUAUCUCGGACAUAAUUAACUUGAGCUUGAACUUUUUCGUGUUCAAUUUCAAACUCAAGUUAAUUAGGUUAUGUUAGCAACGCCUUUGUUGUAUUUUCUCUAUUUUCGAAUUUCGCGAUUUGAAUAUUUGUGUAAUAGUAGUGACUGUUUUGCAUUUGUUUUGUUUGCGGGACUACUGCCAUUGCCUAUUGGAUUAACUUCAACCUCAGAUUAUUAGGUAUUAUUUGACAAUGCUUUAUGUUGCACUUUGUUUAUUUCAAGUUAUGCUUAUUUGAUUGAAUUUUUGAGGUAAGAGUAGUUAGUUUUGCAUUGAUUUGUGUUGUGCGAAAACUGAGCUAUUACCAAGCAGUACUCUCAAAUACAUAAAUCCUCCACGCCUUUAAAUAUUGAGGUACGUAACAAACAUUUAAAACUGUAUAUUUAUCUCGGACAAUAAUUAAACUUGACUUGCAUUUUUCGGGUUCAAUUCAACUCAAGUUAGUUAGGUUAUGUUAGACAACGCCUUAUGUUUUUGUAUUUUCCCUAUUUCGAAUUUCUGCUGACAAUUUGAAUACUUGUGUAAUAAGUAGUGAUGUUGUGCAUUUGUUUUGUUUUGCGAGGACUAAUUGCCAUUGACUAUUGGAUUUUUAACUUCAACCUCAGAUUAUUUAGGUAUUAUUGGACAAUGCUUAUGUUGCUACUUUGUUUAUUUCAAGUUAGGCUGAUUUGAAUUUUUUAGUAAUGAGUAGUUACCUGUUUGCAUUAUUGUGUUGUGCGAGAACUGAUGCUAUUACCAGUACUUCAAAUACAUAUCUCCAUGCCUUUAAAUAUUGAGGUACGUCAACAACAUUUGAAAUUGUAUAUAUUUAUUUUUGCGACAAUAAUUAUACUUGAGCUUGAAAGUUUUCCUGGUUCAAUUAAAACUAAUUUAAUUGGUUAUGUUACAGACAACCUUGUCGCCUUAAUAUUGUAUUUUCUCUAAUUUCAAGUUAUGCUCUUUGAAUAUGGUGUAAUACGUAGUUCUUGUUUCGCAUUUGUUUUGUUUUGCGAGGACUAAUGACAUGACUAUCGGGCUUUUCAAACUUCAACUCAGAUUAUUUAGGUAUUAUUUGACAAUGAUUUAUGUUGAACUUUGUUUAUUUCAGUUAUGCUGAUUUAAAUUUGAGUGAAUGCGUAGUGAUUGUUUUGCAUUUAUUGUGUUGUGCGAGAAUGAUGCUAUCCACGUACUCUCAAAUACAGAAUCUCCACGCCUUUUAAAAUAUUGAGGUACGUAACAAACAUUGAAAUUGUAUAUUUAUUUUGGGACAAUAAAUUAAACUUGAGCUUGAAAUUUUCCGGGUUCAAUUGAAAAACUCAAGGUAAUUAGGAUGUUAGCAACGCUUAAUUGUAUGUUCUCUAUUUCAAGUUAUGACUAAUUUGAAUAUUGUGUUGUAUAAAGUAGUGACUGUUUUGCAUUUGUUUUGUUUUGCGCGGACUAAUGAGAUGACUCUCAAACUGUAUUUAUUCUUGAGACAAUAAUUAAUUUGAUCUUGAAUUUCUCGGAUCAGUUCAAACUCAUGUUAAUUAGGGGUAGGUUAGACAACGCCUUAGUGUAUUUUCUCUAUUUCGAAUUACACUGAUUGAAUAUUGUUGUAAUAAGUAGUAACUGUUGGUAUUUGUUUUGUUUUGCGAGGACGAAUGCCAUGACUACGGGUUUAACUUAACCUCAAAUUCUUAGUAUUAUUUGACCAAUGCUUAUGUUUGGACUGGUAUUUCAAGUUAUCCUGAUUGAAUUUUUGAGUAGUAAAUAGUGACUGUUUUGCAUUAUUUAUUGUGCGAGAAACUGAUGUUUACCAAGUACUCUCAAAUAAAUAUCUCCACGCUUUAAAUAUUGAGGUACGUAACAAAAAAUGUAAAACUGUAUAUUAUCUCGGACAAUAAUUAACUUGAGCUUGAAAUUUUUCGGGUUCAAUUUCAAACUCAAGUUAGUUAGGUUAUGUUAGAAAACGCCCUUAUGUUGGAUGAUGUUGGAUUUUCUCUAUUUCGAAUUUCGCUGAUUUUGAUAUGUGGUAAUAAGUAGUGAAUGUUUUGCAUUUGUUUUGUUUUCCGAGGACUAAUGCCAUUGAACUAUUGGGAUUAACUUCAACCUAAGCUAUUUAGGUAUUAUUUGACAAUGCUUUAUGUUGUACUUUGUGUAUUUCAAGUUAUGUGAUUGAAUUUUUGAGUAAUGAGUAGUUACUGUUUUGCAUUUAUUGGGUUGUCGAGAACUGAUGCUAUUACCAAGUACUCUCAAAUACAUUAUCUCCAUGCUUAAAUAUUGAGGUAAGUAACAAACAUUUGAAAUUGUAUAUUUUUUUUGGACAAUAAUUAAUUGAGCUUGAAAUUUUCCGGGUUAAUUUAACAACUCAAGUUAAUUAGGUGUAUGUUAGCACCGCCGCAUAUUUGUAUUUUCUCUAUUUCAAGUUAUGCUAAUUUGAAUAUUUGUGUUAAAUAAGUAGUUACUGUUGCAUUUGUUUUGUAUUUGCGAGGACUAAUGACCAUUGGGACUCGGGGCUACUAACUUCAAACCACAAAUUAUUUAGGUAUAUUGACAAUGAUUUAGUUGUACUUUGUUUAUUUCAAGUUAUGUGUUUGAAUUUUUGAGUAAUGAGUAGUGACUGAUUUGCAUUAUGUGUGUGCGAGAACUGAUGCUGUUACCAAGUACUCUCAAAUACAUUUCUCCACGCCUUUAAAUUAUUGAGGUACGUAACAAAAUUUGAAAUUAUAUAUUAUGCUGGACAAUAAUUAACUUGAACUUGAAAUUCCCGGUUUCAAUUUCAACCAGUUAAUUAGGUUAUGUUAGAAAACGCCUUAUAUUGUAUUUUCUCUAUUCAAGUUAUGUUGAAUUGAAUAUGUUGUAAAUAGUUAGUGAACUGUUUCGCAUUUGUUUUGUUUUGCGAGGGACUAAUUCCAUUGACUAUCGGAGUUUAAGCUUCAACCUCAGAUUAUUUAGGUAUUAUUUGACAAUGGUUUAUGUUGAACUUUGUUUAUUUCAAGUUAUGCUGAUUUAAUUUUUGAGGAAUGAGUAGUUAUUGUUUGCAUUUAUUGUGUUGGGCGAGAAAUGAUGUAUUACAAGUAUUCAAAAUACAUAGCUCCCACAGAGCCUUUAAAUAUUGAGUACGUAACAAACAUUGAAAAUUGUAUAUGUAUUUUGGACAAUAAUUAAACUUGAGCUUGACAUUCCCGGGUUCAAUUAAAACUGCAAGUUAGUUAAUUAGGUUUUUAUGUUAGGCAACGCGUAUUGUAUUUUCUAUAUUUCAAGUUAUGCUAAAUUUGAAAUAUUUGGUAAUGUAAUAAGUAGUGCUGUUUCAUUUGUUUUGUUUUGCGAGGACUUAAUGAUAUUGACUAUCGGGCUAAACUCAACCACAAAUUAUUUAGGUAUUAUUUGACAUGCGUUAUUGGAACUUUGUGUAUUUCAAGUUAUGCGAUUUGAAUUUUGGUGAGUAAAUGAGUAUGACUAUGUUUUGAAUUUAUUGUGUUGAUGCGAGAACUGAUGCUGUUACACCAAGUACUCUCAAAAUACAUAUAUCCACGCCUUUAAAUAUUGAGGUACGUAACAAACAUUUGAAAUUAUAUAUUUAUGUUGGACAAUAAUUAAUUGAGAACUUGAAAUUUCCCGGUUCAUUUCAAACUCAAGUUAAUUAGGUUAUGUUAGAUCAACGCCUCUUAUAUUGUCUUUUCUCAUUUCAAGUUAUGAUGAAAUUGAAAUUGUGUGUAAUAAGUGGUGACUGGUUUCGCAUUUGUUUUGUUUGGCGAGGACUAAUGCGAUUGACUAUCGGUGUUUUAACUUAAACCUCAGAUUAUUUAGGUAUUAGUAUUUGACCAAUUAUUUAUGUUGAACUUUGUUUAUUUCAAGUUAUGCUGAUUUGAAUUUUUGAGUAAUGAGUAGUGACUGUUUUGCAUUUAUGUUGUGCCUGAGAAGCUGAGCUAUUACCAAGUACUCUCAAAUAAUUCUCCCGGACGCCUUUAAAUAUUGAAGGACGUAACAAACAUUUGAAAUUGUAUAGUUAUUUUGGACAAUAAUUACUUGAGCUUGCAAUUUCCCGGGUUCAUUUCAAAAUCCAGUUUAAUAGGUUAUGUUAGGCAAGCCUUAUAUGUAUUUUCUUCUAUUUCACGUUCUUGCACAUUUGCAUCUUUGUGUAAUAAGUCGUGAUCUGUUUUGCAUGUGUUUUGUGUUUGGCGAGGAUAAUGAUAAUUGACUACGGGCUAAACUUCAACACAAAUUAAUGUAGGUAUAUUUGACAAUGAUUUAUGUUGAACUUGUGUAUUCAAGUAUGCUUGAUUUGCAUUUUGCAGAAUGAGUAAGUGCUGUUUUGCAUUUAUGUGUUGUGUGACGGGAGAACUGAUGACUUGUUACCAAGUUACUCUCAGUAAAUUACAUAUCUCCACGCCUUUAAAUAUUGAGGUACGUAACAAACAUUUGAAAUUAUAUAUUUAUGUUGGACAAUAAUUAACUUGAACUUGAAAUUUCCCGGUUUCAAUUUCAAACUCAAGUUAAUUAGGUUAUGUUAGACAACGCCUUAUAUUGUAUUUUCUCUAUUUCAAGUUAUGCUGAAUUGAAUAUUUGUGUAAUAAGUAGUGACUGUUUCGCAUUUGUUUUGUUUUGCGAGGACUAAUGCCAUUGACUAUGGGUUUAACUUCAACCUCAGAUUAUUUAGGUAUUAUUUGACAAUCAUUUAUGUUGAACUUUGUUUAUUUCAAGUUAUGCUGAUUUGAAUUUUUGAGUAAUGAGUAGUGACUGUUUUGCAUUUAUUGUGUUGUGCGAGAACUGAUGCUGUUACCAAGUACUCUCAAAUACAUAUCUCCACGCCUUUAAAUAUUGA